rnacentral:rRNA from 1 species
UACAGAGGGGGCAAGCGUUGUUCGGAAUUAUUGGGCGUAAAGGGCGCGUAGGCGGCUUGGCAAGUGGAUGGUGAAAUCCCUCGGCUUAACCGAGGAACUGCCGUCCAAACUGCUUUGCUUGAGACCGGGAGAGGUGAGUGGAAUUCCCAGUGUAGCGGUGAAAUGCGUAGAUAUUGGGAGGAACACCAGUGGCGAAGGCGGCUCACUGGACCGGUACUGACGCUGAUGCGCGAAAGCGUGGGGAGCAAACGGGG